rnacentral:piRNA from 1 species
UUAAGUUUGCAGAUCAUC